rnacentral:sRNA from 1 species
AUAUUAUGUUCAUACCGCAGACAGCAGGUGCAUAUGCAUAAAUCCUGCCUAGGUGUAAGAAUGACUUUCUUGAUUAAGAAGUUGAUCCCUUGCGCCUUCGGGUGCAGGGGUUUUUAUAUG